GAGGGGAGAGAGAGAGAAAAAAACAAGCAAACAGUGCAGAAGAUGGUGCUAGAAGGAGAGAUUAAAAAAAGAAUUACUUAUAAUAAGAAUGCAUAAAUUCCCAUCCAAGAGUUACAGGAUAUGCAUGAAGGUAUAUGUGCAUGUGUGUAAGUGUGAGCGUGUGUCUGUGUAUGCUGGAUAUAGGCCUUCAUGCAUAUCCUGUAACUCUUGGAUGGGAAUUCAUGCAUUCUAAUUAUAAGUAAUUCUUAUUUUCUUUUUUUACUCUCUCCUUCUAGCACCAUCUUCUGCACUGUUUGCUUGUUUUUUUCUAUCUCUCCUCCCUCA
rnacentral:miRNA from 1 species